CGGCCUGUUAAGUCAGAUGUGAAAGCCCGGGGCUUAACCUCGGAAUUGCAUUUGAAACUGGCAGGCUAGAGUCUUGUAGAGGGGGGUAGGAAUUUCAGGUGUAGCGGUGAAAUGCGUAGAGAUCUGAAGGAAUACCAGUGGCGAAGGCGGCCCCCUGGACAAAGACUGACGCUCAGAUGCGAAAGCGUGGGGAGCAAACAGGAUUAGAUACCCUGGUAG
rnacentral:rRNA from 1 species